GAAAUGUGGGGAAUGGAGUGGGAGCAGCAUUGGACAGGCCAUCUGGCGUACCGGGCAAUGCCCGGUGGGCCGACGCACAUUUUGGGGCCGGCCCUGGGCUGUCAUAAUUUAACCCAAAAAGUACAUUGUAACAGCUACUGUUUGUUAAAUGUGUUCAGUGCAGAUGUUCCUAAUUCCUACAGUGUUGACAGUCAGUGAAGACAUCAGUGAGCGGCACACAGUGCAGCAGGAGGGAGGGGCUGAGGUGUGUGAGUGAGAGUGUGAGCUCGAAGGACGAGAGACAGCACAGAAGAAGUUGUUAGUUCUUUCAUUUAAUCCUUUUCGUGUUGUUAGUGGGCGUGGUCAAAUCAUUUUUAUCGACAGUGAUGAGCCAUUUGUUAAUUUAUGAAAAAACAAUGAAAUCUCUCAGCCUCCCUCGGCCCACCCCUCCCCUCCUGCUUGACCUAGGUUAUCAAAUGUUGCCAUUAGAGCUGGCCGGAGUCGGAGAGAAGUGAGUGGAAAUGGAUCAAUAACAAAAGCACAAGGGGGAUGCAGAAAAGCUGCGAGAAAAAAAAGGUAAAAACAAGUGGACAGCAAAAUGUGCCAAACUUACUGCCAUGUUUUUCAUUGCCACCUCAAGUAGGACUGCGGCAGCAGGUGCGGCCCCUGUCCCCCAGGGGUGUUCCAGGGAUGUGCCUUUCAUUGGUGUGGACUUCACAGGCAUUCUUCAGUCGUCACCAAGGUCCAUGCAGCCUUCUGUCUCAGCAUAUGUGCCACUUUGAUGAGGAGCUCUUUAUUUUACAGGGAUAUAUGGUCUUACUGUGG